rnacentral:rRNA from 1 species
GAUGAACGCUGGCGGCGUGCCUAAUACAUGCAAGUCGAGCGAACAGACGAGGAGCUUGCUCCUCUGACGUUAGCGGCGGACGGGUGAGUAACACGUGGAUAACCUACCUAUAUGACUUGGAUAACUUCGGGAAACCGGAGCUAAUACCGGAUAAUAUAUUGAACCGCAUGGUUCAAUAGUGAAAGACGGUUUUGCUGUCACUUAUAGACGGAUCCGCGCCGCAUUAGCUAGUUGGUAAGGUAACGGCUUACCAAGGCAACGAUGCGUAGCCGACCUGAGAGGGUGAUCAGCCACACUGGAACUGAGACACGGUCCAGACUCCUACGGGAGGCAGCAGUAGGGAAUCUUGCACAAUGGGCGCAAGCCUGACGGAGCCACACCGCGUGAGUGAUGAAGGUCUUCGGAUUGUAAAGCUCUGUUAUUGGGGAAGAAAAAAAGUGUAUGAAACUCUGGCUGUCUUGACGGUACCUAAAGAAAAAGCAACGGCUAACUUCGUG